GAUGAAGAACGUAGUGAAAUGCGAUAAGUAAUGCGAAUUGCAGAAUUCCAGUGAGUCAUCGAAUCUUUGAACGCACAUUGCGCCCGCCAGUAUUCUGGCGGGCAUGCCUGUUCGAGCGUCAUUUCAACCCUCAAGCCCCCGGGUUUGGUGUUGGGGAUCGGGCUGUACUCCAGCCCGGCCCCGAAAUCUAGUGGCGGUCUCGCUGCAGCCUCCAUUGCGUAGUAGCUAACACCUCGCAACUGGAACGCGGCGCGGCCAAGCCGUUAAACCCCCAACUUCUGAAUGUUGACCUCGGAUCAGGUAGGAAUACCCGCUGAACUUAAGCAUAUCAAUAAGCGGAGGA
rnacentral:misc_RNA from 1 species